AUCAUAAAUCCUGCCAACUGAUUCUUAGCAUGGGUGUUAAACUGAAAAGAAAUCAAGGGAACGGGCCACGCCAACAAUGUUCAUCCCCCUUUUAAUUCAUUUUAUGCCUCACUUGUUUUAUUUCUUAUUCUGCAUUUUUCGCCUCGUUUGUUUUCCCGGGUUUCAGUUUCUUUUCACUGUGUACUCCGCUGACCACUUUGGAGGUGCCGCUGCUCCGAAACGUGCUGUAGAAAUAAACGUGGCCUCCUGCGUCUCAUCAAGGAUUAUAUUUCAUCUGUUCAAGCAGCCUUUUAGAAUGAUAGCGGAGGAGGGUGGAGACCCUGCCCGUCCGCCUUUGACGAGCUCCUUUCUCACACAGGCAAGUUGGAGGCAUACAAGCAAACUCACAAGCUGCCACACUUGGCACAGCGGAACUAUUGGGUUUGCCAACGCAGCGGCCAUGUUCUCCUAAGGACUGCUUUUUCUUUUUAUUGAGGAUGAGGAGGAGCCAAUCUGCUGAUUUUGAGAGAUAGGCAGGGUAUGCACUGGACUGGUUGCCAGUCAGUCCCACUGCACAAGACUGCCAAGAACCCAUUCAUGCUUAUAAUGUGUGUACAAUUUGGAUUCAAAUUUAAUUCCCAUUACAUGUAGAACACAACAGGCUCAUGUUUAUGCUUACUAAUUAUCAAUUGGAAUAUUGAUGGUUUUGUAAUUUCAUAGUGAUACACUGGUGCGGCUGCUUUGUCAAGUCAAAUGUGUUCGGAUUUGGAUUCUCAAUUUACCCUGUUCUGUUUUUGGUUUUGUUCCUAGUCUGGACUGUUCAAUAAAUGUGAAGUUGUCAGCGUUAUAGUCAUGACAAUAAAGUUCUUGUGCUUGU